ACAAUUCUUCAAGCAAAAAACAAAUGGCGAAUUUGGCCUUUCGGUGCAACAAUGAAGAAGAUGGGAGGUUUAGCUGUGUUGGUUCGGUCUCAGCACACACCACCACGGGUUAUGUCAUCUGCGCUUUUUUCCGAUGUGUAGUAGCUGGGGCUGGGGCAGCUUGAUCUUCGGCAGUACCAAAAACAAACGCGCGUGCACAACUCACGCACGAUCGUGUGCUGCUACCGAAGUGUUUACAGCUGUGUGCCAUCUUGAAAUGGUCACACCAAAAAACUGUUGGAGCUUUGCGGGAAUGAUUGGACUACUUGGAUUGUAAAAUUGCAAAAAAAAAACUCCAAGCACCUAGAUGUCGAUGAUGGAGCCCAUCUUUUAUUUAGUCCACUAUUUGGACCGGAUGACGGAAACGACCACCCGUGCCUGAAGCUCACGGGAACCAGG